GUUUGAUCCUGGCUCAGAGCGAACGUUAGCGGCAGGCUUAACACAUGCAAGUCGAGCGAGAAAGGGGCUUCGGCUCCGAGUAAAGCGGCGGACGGGUGCGUAACACGUGGAUAAUCUGCCUCGUGGCGGGGGACAACAGUCCGAAAGGACUGCUAAUACCGCAUGUCAGGUCGGAAACUCCGGUUUCUGACGAAAAAGAGGGCGCCCGCAAGGGGCUCUCACCACGAGAUGAGUCCGCGUCCCAUCAGCUAGUUGGCGGUGUAAUAGACCACCAAGGCUUAGACGGGUAGCUGGUCUGAGAGGAUGACCAGCCACACUGGGACUGAGACACGGCCCAGACUCCUACGGGAGGCAGCAGUGGGGAAUAUUGGACAAUGGGCGAAAGCCUGAUCCAGCCAUGCCGCGUGAGUGAUGAAGGCC
rnacentral:rRNA from 1 species